rnacentral:rRNA from 1 species
AGCGUACACGGUGGAUGCCCUGGCAGUCAGAGGCGAUGAAGGACGUGCUAAUCUGCGAUAAGCGUCGGUAAGGUGAUAUGAACCGUUAUAACCGGCGAUUUCCGAAUGGGGAAACCCAGUGUGUUUCGACACACUAUCAUUAACUGAAUCCAUAGGUUAAUGAGGCGAACCGGGGGAACUGAAACAUCUAAGUACCCCGAGGAAAAGAAAUCAACCGAGAUUCCCCCAGUAGCGGCGAGCGAACGGGGAGGAGCCCAGAGCCUGAAUCAGUGUGUGUGUUAGUGGAAGCGUCUGGAAAGGCGCGCGAUACAGGGUGACAGCCCCGUACACAAAAAUGCACAUACUGUGAGCUCGAUGAGUAGGGCGGGACACGUGGUAUCCUGUCUGAAUAUGGGGGGACCAUCCUCCAAGGCUAAAUACUCCUGACUGACCGAUAGUGAACCAGUACCGUGAGGGAAAGGCGAAAAGAACCCCGGCGAGGGGAGUGAAAAAGAACCUGAAACCGUGUACGUACAAGCAGUGGGAGCCUCUUUUAUGGGGUGACUGCGUACCUUUUGUAUAAUGGGUCAGCGACUUAUAUUCUGUAGCAAGGUUAACCGAAUAGGGGAGCCGAAGGGAAACCGAGUCUUAACUGGGCGUUAAGUUGCAGGGUAUAGACCCGAAACCCGGUGAUCUAGCCAUGGGCAGGUUGAAGGUUGGGUAACACUAACUGGAGGACCGAACCGACUAAUGUUGAAAAAUUAGCGGAUGACUUGUGGCUGGGGGUGAAAGGCCAAUCAAACCGGGAGAUAGCUGGUUCUCCCCGAAAGCUAUUUAGGUAGCGCCUCGUGAACUCAUCUCCGGGGGUAGAGCACUGUUUCGGCAAGGGGGUCAUCCCGACUUACCAACCCGAUGCAAACUGCGAAUACCGGAGAAUGUUAUCACGGGAGACACACGGCGGGUGCUAACGUCCGUCGUGAAGAGGGAAACAACCCAGACCGCCAGCUAAGGUCCCAAAGUCAUGGUUAAGUGGGAAACGAUGUGGGAAGGCCCAGACAGCCAGGAUGUUGGCUUAGAAGCAGCCAUCAUUUAAAGAAAGCGUAAUAGCUCACUGGUCGAGUCGGCCUGCGCGGAAGAUGUAACGGGGCUAAACCAUGCACCGAAGCUGCGGCAGCGACACUAUGUGUUGUUGGGUAGGGGAGCGUUCUGUAAGCCUGUGAAGGUGUACUGUGAGGUAUGCUGGAGGUAUCAGAAGUGCGAAUGCUGACAUAAGUAACGAUAAAGCGGGUGAAAAGCCCGCUCGCCGGAAGACCAAGGGUUCCUGUCCAACGUUAAUCGGGGCAGGGUGAGUCGACCCCUAAGGCGAGGCCGAAAGGCGUAGUCGAUGGGAAACAGGUUAAUAUUCCUGUACUUGGUGUUACUGCGAAGGGGGGACGGAGAAGGCUAUGUUGGCCGGGCGACGGUUGUCCCGGUUUAAGCGUGUAGGCUGGUUUUCCAGGCAAAUCCGGAAAAUCAAGGCUGAGGCGUGAUGACGAGGCACUACGGUGCUGAAGCAACAAAUGCCCUGCUUCCAGGAAAAGCCUCUAAGCAUCAGGUAACAUCAAAUCGUACCCCAAACCGACACAGGUGGUCAGGUAGAGAAUACCAAGGCGCUUGAGAGAACUCGGGUGAAGGAACUAGGCAAAAUGGUGCCGUAACUUCGGGAGAAGGCACGCUGAUAUGUAGGUGAAGCGACUUGCUCGUGGAGCUGAAAUCAGUCGAAGAUACCAGCUGGCUGCAACUGUUUAUUAAAAACACAGCACUGUGCAAACACGAAAGUGGACGUAUACGGUGUGACGCCUGCCCGGUGCCGGAAGGUUAAUUGAUGGGGUCAGCGCAAGCGAAGCUCUUGAUCGAAGCCCCGGUAAACGGCGGCCGUAACUAUAACGGUCCUAAGGUAGCGAAAUUCCUUGUCGGGUAAGUUCCGACCUGCACGAAUGGCGUAAUGAUGGCCAGGCUGUCUCCACCCGAGACUCAGUGAAAUUGAACUCGCUGUGAAGAUGCAGUGUACCCGCGGCAAGACGGAAAGACCCCGUGAACCUUUACUAUAGCUUGACACUGAACAUUGAGCCUUGAUGUGUAGGAUAGGUGGGAGGCUUAGAAGUGUGGACGCCAGUCUGCAUGGAGCCGACCUUGAAAUACCACCCUUUAAUGUUUGAUGUUCUAACGUUGACCCGUGAUCCGGGUUGCGGACAGUGUCUGGUGGGUAGUUUGACUGGGGCGGUCUCCUCCUAAAGAGUAACGGAGGAGCACGAAGGUUGGCUAAUCCUGGUCGGACAUCAGGAGGUUAGUGCAAUGGCAUAAGCCAGCUUGACUGCGAGCGUGACGGCGCGAGCAGGUGCGAAAGCAGGUCAUAGUGAUCCGGUGGUUCUGAAUGGAAGGGCCAUCGCUCAACGGAUAAAAGGUACUCCGGGGAUAACAGGCUGAUACCGCCCAAGAGUUCAUAUCGACGGCGGUGUUUGGCACCUCGAUGUCGGCUCAUCACAUCCUGGGGCUGAAGUAGGUCCCAAGGGUAUGGCUGUUCGCCAUUUAAAGUGGUACGCGAGCUGGGUUUAGAACGUCGUGAGACAGUUCGGUCCCUAUCUGCCGUGGGCGCUGGAGAACUGAGGGGGGCUGCUCCUAGUACGAGAGGACCGGAGUGGACGCAUCACUGGUGUUCGGGUUGUCAUGCCAAUGGCACUGCCCGGUAGCUAAAUGCGGAAGAGAUAAGUGCUGAAAGCAUCUAAGCACGAAACUUGCCCCGAGAUGAGUUCU